rnacentral:lncRNA from 1 species
UAGAUAGGGAGAGAUCCGUUUGCGUCAAAAAUGCGUCCUUUUGCACCACAACUUUUUUUCCCAUAUACGUUUGCGCCACCGUUUAAAAUUACAUGGUAUCAUUUGCAACCAAAAUAAAACAUACGAUUGCGCCAGUUAGAAGAAAAAUGACUACCCUCCACCUUUAUUCGGACUUGGAAAAGGCAGUUUACAUGGAAAAUGUUUCCUUUUCUGAAACAUACUUUCUUCUUACUGCUGCUGCAUGGGUACUUCAUAAUUUAAUGUAUGUGGUAGCUUGUAACCUUCACUUUAUUGUCCAAAAAGACAAACAUUGAAGGAUGAAAUGCAUAAAACAGUUCAUAAUAAUUCCCUGUGGAAUGCUUCUGCUCCAUUACUUAUACGUCUUGAGGUAGAUAGAGUUUCAGCCCAUACGGAUGGUGGGAGCAUAUCACUACAUGUUAUCAACGUUUGUGGCUAACACAUAAUCAGCAAAUGCUUAUACUUCUCUUUUGGCAUAUCUUGUAUAAAUAUUCAGCAAAACAAUAAGUUUUCUUCUCUCUCUCUGUACAUGGACUGUCUACUGCAUUUCAAGUCAUUUCUCUACAGAUGCUCAUCUUCAUGGUGAAAUAUCUCCAAUCAUAUGAUACUAUAAUAUUUAUGAUAGAUAUGUGUACAGGUAAAUUGGUGCAAAUGAGUUCCGAUUAUUUGCGCAAAUGAUACAUUUUGAAAACAAAAUUUGGCGCAAAUGAUACCCCUGAAAAACAGUAACUGGCGCAAAAGGAC